rnacentral:rRNA from 1 species
CCCUUAGAUGUUCUGGGCCGCACGCGCGCUACACUGUUCGACGCAGCGAGUCUUAACCUUGACCGAAAGGUUUGGGUAAUCUUCAGCAAAGUCGAACGUGAUGGGGAUCGAUCAUUGCAAUUAUUGAUCGUGAACGAGGAAUUCCUAGUAAGUGCAAGUCAUCAGCUUGCGCUGAUUACGUCCCUGCCCUUUGUAUACACCGCCCGUCGCUACUACCGAUUGAAUGGUUUAGUGAGAUCUCUGGAUUGACGCUGGCUAGGGGGCGACCCUUGGCCAGGCUGUCGAGAAACUGCUCAAACUUGAUCAUUUAGAGGAAGUAAAAGUCGUAACA